AAAGACCGAAACCCACCCCCAGCCGCCGCCCAAGUUGCGGCUCUGCUCGUGGUUUCUGGCAAGUGCUAGAAACGUGGCCCAGAAAGAAUGGCGUCCAUUUACAUAAUGCUUUGUUUGCGUUUUGCAAGUUUCUUUCGGUUAAACCCGCAGAAACCCCACCUCCUGCCCUAGUGGCGCUUUAAGAUGUGGCAGCCCCUUCAGCUACUUAAGACAAUGGCGUGCCUCUUGACUCGUGGGGGCGCCGAGCCGAGCUUUGGGAGAGCCCCCAGGGCGUCCCCCUCCCGGCUCAGGCCGCCCUUGCCCCGCUGGGUGCCGCCGCCGCGCCCCGCGCUUUCCGGGGGCGGCGCUCGCCCGGCCGCCAUCUUGGGAGGCUUUUCCUGCCGCAGGCGCUGCGGCACGUUCCUUCCUCCAAAGAAAGGCCGCCGGCGCCGCUGAGGUGCCGGUUAUGGCGUCUGCCCCUCGCCCUUCCCGUCAGCUAAGCCGGACCGAAAAGGCUGUUUGCGCAAAGCGCCUCAGGCUCCCUCAGGGCGAGCGGCUAACGGCUGACUCUCUGACCCCCCCUUCUCCGUCUCCUUCCUCAUGGGGGCGGCCGCCAUUUUUCCUCAACACAAAAUGGCCGCACGUGGUCCGGGUUCGGCGCCAACGAGAAGUCGGGGUUAUCGUGAAAGCUCUAGAAUGCGUCCCCGUCGCCCUCCCCGCCCCCACCCCCGGUGCCUGUGGUCGGGGCCGUCCCUGCCCCGCGAGUCCCCGGACCCUCACACGGCAGUCCCCCCGGGGUGGGUGGGGGCGGGUUUUAAUGCGGUUCUCGUGAUUUUUGUUUUUUUGUUUUUUUUUUGUUCUCGUGAUUUUUGAACCGGGAAUCGGAACUGUAAAAUGUAGGCAUAAACACCGAGUCUGUCGCUCAUUUUAAAUUUGAUGCGAGCUACCCACAGCGCUGGGACCCCCGGGAACAAAGCGUUUAGAGAUCCCUGCCGGGAGGAAGGAGAUGGGAAUGUCUGCCUGCCUAGUCCCGCUCAGGCUGGGCUGCUGGGCUGGGAAGUCCGAGAAAUGGCCUUAGAAAUCCUUCAGACAGACAGUUGCAUCGAAGCGGCUAAGAUGUCCAUGGCCCCCCCCUCCCCCCUUGGGGGGGGGCAGGUUGGACAGGGACUCUCCGUUUGCCACAACUGGGGUCACUUUGAGCCUAGACUCAGGGGACAGGCGUUGACUGUGCACGGACCAGCGCUAGAUGGAUUCCCUUAGGCACAGGGAGAUGAAGUGAUGAUUCAUCCAAGGUCACAGUGUCAAGGAUGGAAUCCAGACCUUUUUUCCUUAUGGGCCACAGGUACCUUGGUGACCCUGAGAUCUGGCAAAAAGGGCGCUGGACUAUUCUUCACAACUUCUGCAGCCACCACCCAUUUUACAGAUGAAGCCACUGAGAUAAUGGAGCAACUGACUAAAUAGUCACCACCCUACCUCUGGAGCCUCACAUAUGACUCUUCUCCUCCCACUGAGUGACUGCAGGUGAGACAUGGUCUUGUCACUGUAACAUAGUAGUUGAGAAUGUGACUCUGGAGCCAGCCUUCUGGGGUGUGAAUUCUGACUCAGCCAGAAUAAAGAAGAGGGAGACAUACCAGAGGGAAGAUGGCCAGAUGAAGAUGGAGGCAGAGAUUGAAGUUAUGCUGCUACCAACUAAGGAAUGGCAAAGAUAACUGACAACCAUCAGAAGCUGGAAGAGGCAAGGAAGGAUUCUUCCCUACAGCCUUCUGGGGAGCACAGCCCUGCUGACACGUUAAUUUUUGACUUUUAGCCUUCAAAACUGUGAGAAAAUAAAUUUCUGUUGUUUUGAAGCCA